rnacentral:rRNA from 1 species
UAGGGAAUCUUCCACAAUGGGCGAAAGCCUGAUGGAGCAACGCCGCGUGUGUGAUGAAGGGUUUCGGCUCGUAAAACACUGUUGUAAGAGAAGAAUGACAUUGAGAGUAACUGUUCAAUGUGUGACGGUAUCUUACCAGAAGGGACGGCUAAAUACGUGCCAG